rnacentral:lncRNA from 1 species
GUUGAGAAUUUGAGCCAUGUAUCAUUGGUGAUUAAUUUCUAAAUGCUCCUGAUCAAUGGAUCAUCACGAGGACGGUGAUCGAUCCGAUCAGUGCACAGAUCGCUUUCCUUAUGGAUGGACGAGACUCGAGUCCACAGUGUAGGAACACUGAAGUGAGAGUGCAAGUGCUUGUUAGAGAACAAGGGUACUGAGCGUGACCAAGACAAGAAGUCACUUGGAUGUCUAUCCACUCGUCAGUGACUUACUUGAUGUUGCAGUAAUGUGACUGGUCCUUUGACCUGCGGUGCUUCGGCUACUCACAGUGAGGUUAUUGUAGUUUGACUGCACAUAUACAUGGUCUCUAGUCAUAUGGGUCCUUAUAGUGUAGAUUGGAUGUUGUAGGUUCACUAUAGGAGUAGGGUAUGUGAUUUAUUAGACUGAGUUCUAAGACCUUGGCCAGGGCAGCAAAUACAGUGGAGAAAGAGUUUUUCCGCUAUCGGACUCAAGUCGAAUAAAUCUAGACAUACGACAGACAACGGAGUUUGACGAGUUAUCCAUGACCUCCGAUCUGUAGAGAUCCACGAUAGAAGGACUGUAUCAUACGAUAACUGCACCUAGAGGUUCAUCAUUCUAUUCUGCUGGAUAGCCACUACAUACUGCUAGGUGUCACUGGUGGAUGGUGAGACUCACAGGGAUCAUCUCGAUGGUCGAUAAUCCCUGAUGAUUGAGUUGGAAUUGUUUCAACCCAUUGAAAGGAGUUUUCAAUGAUAUUGUGAUAGAGAUUCCAAUAUUUCUCACUACCAGUUAGAAUAGAACCUAUGGGGUCA